UUGGUUCCUUCCACAGAUAUGUAAGCUACUAGGUAAAGUGGAACUCAACUUCUAUGAAUCCUGGCCAUAGGCUUCCUUCAAGGACGACCAGAGCUAAGCAGCAGACUCCAACCUGACAACAAGGCUAAGUGUCUCCAAUGAAAGGGUUCCUAAGAUCCACCCAUGAAGUAGCCUACCUGAUUUGCGCCACUGAAUAAAUUCUUCACUAAAGGAGCUCUGAUCAGAGCCUGAAGCUCAAUCAAGGGCACCAUAUGUUGGAGGUGUCGAGCUCUCACCAAUCGAAAAUAUGAUCAACUAGGUCUUGGCUCUCUGCCAAGGCCAAAAUUUGCUCAUGCCACAUUGGGUAAUUGGAGUUGGUGAGGUGCAAGGUAACAAAAUUCCCAACAUUGAGGGAGAUGGUAGCCAUGGGAGGAAGACUUUGUUACUCUCACACAGGCUUUGGUACCAUGAAGAAGAGUGCACACAAGGUGUUUGAGAAAAAUACUCACUCACUGUGAGAGAGCCGAGAGUCUUUGUAUUCAUUUAUAUACAAGGUACAAGGUUCUAUUAUGAAUAAUACUAGUUGUAUUGACGGUUGGAAUGCAAGAUUAUACAAGGAAAAAUAAAGUUGUAAUUAUCUAUAUGCUUCCGUUGGGUUGAGAGGUUCUCAUAUAUAGGCUAGCAAUUGGGUGAGUUGCCAUGUAUAUAGACGCGAAUCUAUAUUUGGUAUAUGCCCAUGAUUGGUGCAUAGCUGUUGGGAUUGAGCUACGUUGA